rnacentral:lncRNA from 1 species
GCCUGGGCCAAGGUAGCUCGCGCGCUAGCCUCAGUGCCUCUCGGUCCAUUGCAGUGGGAGGAUGUGCGACGUCGCUCUCCUCAAAUCCCAGAAAAAAUGAAAAUGCCAACAUCUUAUAGUUUUAGAAGCGACCACUGAAGUUAAAUAAAGUGAACAAUAUACAAAAAUAAAGGCGAGAGAGAGAGAGA